CGGCUUGAGUAUGAAAUGAUAUGACUAGGCGAGAUUAUGAAAUGACAUGAUCCGAACAUAAUGCAGCAGACUUGACUGUCAUCUUCAUGAAUUUAUUUUACAAUUUAAAUAAAAAGCUAGAAAUAAAUUUUUAUGUUAUUCUGGAUAUUAUAGAGAAAAUAUUUGAAAACAUUUUCUGGGGUUUUUGCCCCUUUAUCAUUGAAAAAAAAAAUUUACACGAACUUUUUCAGUUUAUUUUUUAUUUUUUUUAAAAAAGAGAAAAUAAUAGGAUAUCUGCGGUCAAGGAUUUAAUUAGUUAUUCUCGUGCUCAUACAGGCAGAGUCUGCUUUGAAAGCUGAGAGAAUGUCUAGCAAUGGCUGCUGCAAGUACUCGUGCGAAACUGCGAGCGAGACCCUGCAAUGGAUCAACGCCAUCGUCGACUUCAUAAGACCUUACUCUUUCUUAACGGACGCUCACGUCGUCAAUUUCUUCAAGGAUCGAAUGUGGGAAGCUAUUGAUAAGGAAUGGAUGGAUUGCUUGCGGAAAGAAGCAGUGGAAAAUCUUCUUCAAAUUCCUGGUGGAGUGGUCCAGGAUCAUUGGCCUGCUUCUCUUAAGAAAUUCAUUGUUACUUUGAGCUCUCUCGUGCUUCCUCGACAACAACAAGACUUGCAGACGGUAUUACCUGGCAUGAACAUGACUUCACUCAAUAGUGUUCUCUCUACGGGCAUGAAUUGGAAGAAAAAACAUGAAGUAGAAGUCCUUUCUGCUGUUGUUGAUUCAAUCGCUACCAGUGUCGGAGCCAAUGCAAUUAUUGAUGUUGGCUCGGGUCAGGGGUAUCUUGCACAAGUACUUUCCUUUCACUACCAACAUGCGGUAGUUGCAAUUGAUGCAUGUUCUCAUCAUGGAAGGGUUACUGAUGCACGUGCAGAACAAAUUAAGAAAUAUUAUGCUGCUCAGCUGCGUAAAUCUGUAUCUGGAAACAGGAGUUUGACUCUGCCUAAGACAGUCACAUGCAAUGUGAUGUCUAUUGACAUGUUGAAAGCUUUGGCUGACACACCACUGCAUAAAGAUAAUGUCUCUUUACUGCAAUCUUCCUGCAAUGCAGGCAACGGAAGUUCAUUGGUUCUUGCUGGGCUUCAUGCUUGCGGAGAUCUUUCAGUAACAAUGCUCAAGACCUUUAUGGAGUGCAAAGAAGUUAAAGCAGUUGUUAGCGUCGGCUGCUGUUACAACCUAUUAUCUGAAGAGGGUUUCAACCAUGUUGGUUCUCAAUGUGGUUUUCCAAUGAGUUGUGGUGUUAUAUCUGCUGGCAUUUCACUUGGAAAAAGUUCGCGGGACCUAGCAUGUCAGAGUGCGGAGAGGUGGAAAUGCCUCGAAAAUGAUGCUGGUCUCCAUAAUUUUGAGUUGCAUGCUUUCCGCGCUGCAUUUCAGAUGGUUCUCAGUGUAUACUAUCCCGAAGUCAUGAGUACAAGUCCAUCAAUUGGGCGUCAAGGGAAGGCAUUACGUCGCCGACAACAGAGGGUUGUCCCAAACUCCUCGCUGCACCAUAAAGAAAACAAAUGUUCCUUGUCAGAAAUAAACUCUCAUAUGACAGGAAGUUGCUAUCACAAAAAAUCAACAGAGCUGGAAACAGAUGACAGUUUUGACAUGAUGUUAGAGACAACAUCCAGAACUAAUGAAAACUCCUCCAAUAAGGCCACCAAAUGUGAGAGGAGCGAAUUCAUCGGCAACUAUCCACUUUUUCAGAAAUAUUGCUUAUCGGGGUUAUGUCGCCUUGGUCUUGAGCCUCUGAAGGAAACUGAUAUCCAUGGAAUAUGGAAGCAAGUUGAAUCUUUUGCUGAACUUAUUGGACCUUAUUGGUCUCUUCGAGCUGCUUUUGGGCCUCUUUUGGAAACUUUUCUUUUGCUUGAUAGAUUGUUGUUCCUCCAAGAGCAAGGCAGUUCAAUUGAAGCAGUCAUGUUACCUAUUUUCAAUGCUGCAUUGUCCCCAAGGAAUGUGGCCAUUAUUGCUAAGAAGUUGACACAAAUGUGACUGUGUCAUGCCAUAUGUUCUCAGGCUGGAUGAAGGUCUCUCUAACAUCUGAAUCUGGAUGUAGCUUCGAUGGGCAUAAGUAUGUGUCCUGCUGAAUUUAGUGAUAAAAAUCUGAGCCAAAUGAUGAAAGCUUGAAAAUUCGGAAAUUGGAACAAUGAACUUCAGAAACUUGUGGUACCAAUUCGUUGAUUGCGAAUUUCAAGGGAUUUGAGAGGACUUUGCAACUGUGUAUAUUCUGUAGCAACAUAUCCGCAUGCGCCGGCGCCCACUCAAUACAGUCUCGUCAACAAUUCACUGGUUGGCAUGCUGGAAUGAGAAAGACAGAUUAUUUGGCUGCAUUCAUUUUGUCACGUACUACCUAUUUUGACCCAUUUCCUGAAUGAUCGCUACUCUUAAAAGAUCCAGGGUACUAAGAAACUAAAGAAUAUCCCUGUUGAUGCCUAUGAGAUAAUUUUGUCUUUGUUUUUUUGUAAUGAGGUUAACAUUGUAAUUAUCUGUUGAAGAAAGCUCUGUCGGCAGCAUUGCCAAGGACAAAUAAAGAUUUGAAUCAAGGUGUGUGGAAAGUGGAGAGCCUCUCAUUGCAUUAGAGCACAAAGUUUCACAAUUCAAUGGCUUAGUUCUAAUGGAAUAAGCAAGCCUGGGUUGUCCAUUUUAAGGUAUUGUCGUUUUAGCAACACUUGGAUGCCAUUGAGAUGGGACACGUGUCAAUGCUUUGACUGGUCUUUGUCCUUUUAAGAGUAGGACAUUUAGACUGGAUGGUCACACCCCACAAUACUCUAAUGGGGUUUUUCAGAUAGUGCUUCCUUUUUGUUGCAAGUAAAACGACAAGAAAAGUAGCCAUCCAAAUGGAAGUUGGUCCAAGUAUCACUCGUGUUGAACACAACUCUUUGGAAUGAAGAUGAUGUCUUAUGUUUCAUUCUGGCCCAUGAAGGUGUUCAUCGUCACAAAGUUGUUGUGGACUUGGACAUGACUUGUGAAUGAAUAAUUGUCAGGGGGGUGUCUUGCGUUUGGCGUUUGUGUGGUACUAUACUAGUACAAGAGAAACUUACAUGUCACGAAGUGUACGCUCAUGUCACGUGCUAAGAGAGACAUACACAAAUAAGUAUACACCCGAUGACCCAAACUGGUACGGUUGUAAUGAAAUAAAACCAUUUGCUUA